UUAACACAUGCAAGUCGAGCGAGAAAGCUUCUUCGGAAGUGAGUACAGCGGCGGACGGGUGAGUAACACGUGAGAAUUUACCCUUUAGUGAAGGAUACCUCUGAGAAAUCAGGGUUAAUACUGCAUAAGUCCCUUCGGGGAGAAAGAUGGCCUCUUUGCUGUCGCUAAAGGAUAAGCUUGCGGGCUAUUAGCUUGUUGGUGAGGUAAAGGCUCACCAAGGCGAUGAUUGCUAGCCGGCCUGAGAGGGUGUACGGCCACACUGGAACUUAGACACGGUCCAGACUCCUACGGGAGGCAGCAGUGAGGAAUAUUGCGCAAUGGGCGAAAGCCUGACGCAGCGACGCCGCGUGGGGGAUGAAGGUCUUCGGAUCGUAAACUCCUGUUAAGUGGGAAGAAAGGUUUGUCUUUAAUAGAGACAAAAGAUGACUGUACCAUUAGAGAAAGCACCGGCUAACUUCGUGCCAGCAGCCGCGGUAAUACGAGGGGUGCAAGCGUUAUUCGGAAUCAUUGGGCGUAAAGGGUGCGUAGACGGUCUAUUAAGUCAACUGUUAAAUUCUCCGGCCUAACUGGGGACUCGCGGUAGAAACUGGUAGACUUGAGGUUGGAAGAGAGAAGUGGAAUUCUCGGAGUAGCGGUAAAAUGCGUAGAUCUCGAGAGGAACACCAAUGGCGAAGGCAGCUUCUUGGUCCAAAUCUGACGUUGAGGCACGAAAGCGUGGGGAGCAAACAGGAUUAGAUACCCUGGUAGUCCACGCCGUAAACGAUGAUCACUAGACGUUAACUCUGCUUGCAGAGUGAGUGUCGUAGCUAACGCGCUAAGUGAUCCGCCUGGGGACUACGGUCGCAAGACUAAAACUCAAAGGAAUUGACGGGGGCCCGCACAAGCGGUGGAACAUGUGGUUUAAUUCGACAAUCCGCGAGGAACCUUACCUAGACUUGACAUGCUUUUGACACCCGUGGAAACACGGUCUUUCGCAUUUCGGUGCGGACAAUUGCACAGGUGCUGCAUGGUUGUCGUCAGCUCGUGUCGUGAGAUGUUGGGUUAAGUCCUUUAACGAGCGCAACUCCUGCCGAUAGUUGCAACUUGAUUUAUCAAGGCACUCUAUCGGGACUGCCUGGGAAACCAGGAGGAAGGUGGGAAUGACGUCAAAUCAUCAUGGUCCUUAUGUCUAGGGCUACACACGUGUUACAAUGGUCGGUACAAUGGGCAGCGAUUCUGCGAAGAUGAGCAAAUCCCAAAAAGCCGAUCUAAGUUCGGAUUGCGGUCUGCAACUCGACCGCAUGAAGUUGAAAUCGCUAGUAAUCGCGCAUCAGCAACGGCGCGGUGAAUACGUUCACGGGCCUUGUACACACCGCCCGUCACACCACGAAAGCUGUUUGUACCCGAAGUUAUCUUAGCCAACCCUUUGGGAGGCGGAUACCUAAGGUAUGGGGAGUGAUUGGGGUGAAGUCGGAACAAGGUA
rnacentral:rRNA from 1 species